UAUUGUUACAGCACAUUCCCGAAAGGAUUCAUUUUUAAGUGAAGAUGCCUUGUAACCAAAUUUUUGAAUGGGGGAAUUUAUG
rnacentral:sRNA from 2 species